UAACAUGGAAGAACCCAGUCAGCCCCUUCAGAAGAAAGCCCCACAGAUUCUUACAGAGUAUGAGACUACAGGUAUCCUGGCAGUGCCAUCGAGGAAGCUCCUUGUGAAGACGUGCAUAGGAGAUUUGGUGGAGAGGUGUGGUUUUUACCCUCUUAGUGCAGAGAAGCAUCAUCACCACCUUCCCAUCCCUGAGUGUCAGAGCAGAAGGACAAGGGGAAGGAUUUGAGCAUUACUAUGAUCCAGUCUCUCACUGUGGAUUCCUAGAGACUAAACUGCACAACCUUAGACGCAAUCUCGAGCAAAAGCAGAGGCAUUAUAGGAAGCGAAAAGUGACCAAUGACUGCACUGGACCCGAGAAGCCUGAUACAACAGAGGAUGGGCAUGCCAGCAGCACAAAUGAGUGAGCCACCUUGAUUCAACGGUUGCGGCCCUCAGCUGAGAACCUUUCAGCGAUCAAGUCAGGCAUGGAGAAAACGUACACAUGUCGCAGAUCCUGGAUUACUAAGGACUCCCCCACUUUAAACGUACAAUAUGUAACUUUC